GACGGAGGGUGCAAGCGUUGCUCGGAAUCACUGGGCGUAAAGGGUGCGUAGGCGGUCUCGCAAGUCGGAUGUGAAAUCUUAUGGCUUAACCAUAAAAGUGCAUCCGAAACUGCAGUGCUUGAGUACUUAAGAGGAUCGCGGAAUUCCCGGUGUAGAGGUGAAAUUCGUAGAUAUCGGGAGGAACACCAGUGGCGAAGGCGGCGAUCUGGGAAGAUACUGACGCUGAGGUGCGAAAGCGUGGGGAGCAAACAGG
rnacentral:rRNA from 1 species